rnacentral:tmRNA from 1 species
GGGGGUGUACUGGUUUCGACGGGGGAAGCGGUGGCAAAAGAAGCGAGUCGGGAUUGCACUUGCCCGUAAAACGGUGCGCAACAUUUAAACGCAAACGAAAAUAAUUACGCUUUCGCUGCUUAAUUGCAGUUGAACCUCUUACCUUCUGUGCUCGGGGUGAGGGAUAAGGGGUCAUCUUACCGGGCUACUCUUGAGCCAUUGUUUCCUAACUCAAGGGGAAAUUAAGGAGACUGGCCUGAAGGAAUCCUGUCUGUAGGAGUCCGGAGGGUAAGAUAAAAAAUACAGGCUGUACUCGGAGAAGCUUUUGUGGCUGGUCUUCCGGACAAGGGUUCGACUCCCUUCACCUCCACCA